AUUGAACGCUGGCGGCAGGCCUAACACAUGCAAGUCGAGCGGAAACGAGUUAUCAGAACCUUCGGGGGACGAUAACGGCGUCGAGCGGCGGACGGGUGAGUAAUGCCUAGGAAAUUGCCCUGAUGUGGGGGAUAACCAUUGGAAACGAUGGCUAAUACCGCAUGAUGCCUACGGGCCAAAGAGGGGGACCUUCGGGCCUCUCGCGUCAGGAUAUGCCUAGGUGGGAUUAGCUAGUUGGUGAGGUAAGGGCUCACCAAGGCGACGAUCCCUAGCUGGUCUGAGAGGAUGAUCAGCCACACUGGAACUGAGACACGGUCCAGACUCCUACGGGAGGCAGCAGUGGGGAAUAUUGCACAAUGGGCGCAAGCCUGAUGCAGCCAUGCCGCGUGUGUGAAGAAGGCCUUCGGGUUGUAAAGCACUUUCAGUCGUGAGGAAGGUGGUAGUGUUAAUAGCACUAUCAUUUGACGUUAGCGACAGAAGAAGCACCGGCUAACUCCGUGCCAGCAGCCGCGGUAAUACGGAGGGUGCGAGCGUUAAUCGGAAUUACUGGGCGUAAAGCGCAUGCAGGUGGUUUGUUAAGUCAGAUGUGAAAGCCCGGGGCUCAACCUCGGAAUUGCAUUUGAAACUGGCAGACUAGAGUACUGUAGAGGGGGGUAGAAUUUCAGGUGUAGCGGUGAAAUGCGUAGAGAUCUGAAGGAAUACCGGUGGCGAAGGCGGCCCCCUGGACAGAUACUGACACUCAGAUGCGAAAGCGUGGGGAGCAAACAUG
rnacentral:rRNA from 1 species